rnacentral:rRNA from 1 species
AUUGAACGCUGGCGGCAGGCUUAACACAUGCAAGUCGAACGGAGUGGCGAACGGGUGAGUAAUGUAUAGCUAAUCUGCCCUACACUAGAGGACAACAGUUGGAAACGACUGCUAAUACUCUAUAGUGUAGGAUGAGGCUAUAUUGUAUCAGCUAGUUGGUGAGGUAAUGGCUCACCAAGGCUAUGACGCAGAACUGGUCUGAGAGGAUGAUCAGUCACACUGGAACUGAGACACGGUCCAGACUCCUACGGGAGUCAGCAGUGGGGAAUAUUGCUCAAUGGGGGAAACCCUGAAGCAGCAACGCCGCGUGGAGGAUGACACUUUUCGGAGAGUAAACUCCUUUUGGUAGAGUAGCGGUACCUAACGAGUAAGCACCGGCUAACUCCGUGCCAGCAGCCGCGGUAAUUC